CCCCCGGGAGCCCCAAGCAGAUCCCCUGGUGCGAGUUCGCCCGAGCGCCUACUUUUCGGGGCCCCCUCGCCGCCGAGCAGACCCCUCCGUGGCCCCCGCCCGGACUUGGCGACUCUGGGGGGGCGGCAUAAAGGCCGAGGCGGCGCGGCCGAGCUGGGACGUGGCGCGCGCUCCGGGCCCAGCUCCAGCCUGCUCUCAGGACCACCGUCUCCGACGUCGGGGGCCCCGUGGAGCCAGAGACCCCCACCUAGAAGAGACCCAGCUGCUACGGGGGCACGAGAAACAGUGGCGGGAACCCUGUGAUGUUGAAUAAAAUUGCAUGAAAAUCAUGAAAAA